CGAUUCAACAAAACCGAUCCCUGGAAGACCGUCCUCCGUCCUGCGCUGCACCAGAGGUGCAGAGUGAUCUGCUGCCUCCAGCUCCUGUCACUGUGAGGAGGGAAGGCACCCUCCAACUGGUCCUUGUCUGAGAAGCCUGAGCUUGGCGCGCACAUGAAUAACAGCACCUUCAGAGAUCUCCCCUGAGACUGGGCUUUCCAGCCUGAUGCUGAAGCCAUGGCUGGCCGUGGCUGCUCUGCCCCCCUAGUGAGCACUUUGGGAUAAAGCAGCUUAUAGCAGAGGGUACCAGAAGGCAAGGAACACUGCCACCUACUGGCUGCAAGGAGCACUGCAUCUGGUCGGGGACAGGACUUUGCAGGCUGUGCCCUCAGAGACCACAGGACGGUAUUGGAAUUCCCUGGGACUGGAGUUACAGAUGGUCGUGAGCCGCUGGAUGGGGACUAGGAAUUGAACCUGGGUCCUCCGAAAGAGCAGCUAGUCGAUGCUGUUAACCACUGAGCCUUAUCUCCACCCCACACUCGUGAUUCCUAAGUGCUGCCCAGGCUGAGUUCACAUCCUGAUGUGCUGUGUCCUCCCUCUGUCCCCACAGUCAGCUCUUUGAGAUGACCACCCACUGGGCUUCCCGGGAGAGUGACUUACUCUAAAGCCUGUUGUUGGAUUUUUAAAAUGUAGUCAGUCUUCAUGGCUUCUGACA